AGGGGUGUAGCUCAGUUGGUAGAGCAGCGGUCUCCAAAACCGCAGGUCGGAGGUUCGAGCCCCCUCGCCCCUGCCA
rnacentral:tRNA from 1 species